AGUGAACGCUGGCGGUAGGCCUAACACAUGCAAGUCGAACGGCAGCACAGUAAGAGCUUGCUCUUACGGGUGGCGAGUGGCGGACGGGUGAGGAAUACAUCGGAAUCUACUUUUUCGUGGGGGAUAACGUAGGGAAACUUACGCUAAUACCGCAUACGACCUACGGGUGAAAGCAGGGGAUCUUCGGACCUUGCGCGAUUGAAUGAGCCGAUGUCGGAUUAGCUAGUUGGCGGGGUAAAGGCCCACCAAGGCGACGAUCCGUAGCUGGUCUGAGAGGAUGAUAAGCCACACUGGAACUGAGACACGCUCCAGACUCCUACGGGAGGCAGCAGUGGGGAAUAUUGGACAAUGGGCGCAAGCCUGAUCCAGCCAUACCGCGUGGGUGAAGAAGGCCUUCGGGUUGUAAAGCCCUUUUGUUGGGAAAGAAAAGCAGCAGGUUAAUACCCCGCUGUUCUGACGGUACCCAAAGAAUAAGCACCGGCUAACUUCGUG
rnacentral:rRNA from 1 species